CAUACCUGUCCCUGCAGCGCCACCUAUGGGCUGUCAGGAAUACAGCGGGUUCUUCUGGAGCGGAGGUAUGCAUUUUUGGCAAGAAUAACACAGAAGUGAUUCUAUAUUCCUCUCAGUGCAUCAUAUCAGAAGGCACAUGAUGCUGACUGCUCUCAUUAACUGGCUUUGGGUCCACGAUCUUCCAUUCAAGAUAUUUGGCUACCUCUCCAGCUGUCAAAGAAGAAGAAAAGCAAGUCAGCUGUACACUCAGCUAUUACUCAAUGAGCAGGUCCAGGCUGAAGACAGAAUUCCGUGGCACCACAGACUCUGGGCUGAUACUGAUUCAUAAUUAGCAUCUGUCUUUGUGAUCUCUGGGCCACAUUCCUCCACCUUGUUCACAAGAGCUUGUUCUGUACCCAGUGACAGCUAAAAAAAAAAAAAAAAAAAAAAAAAAAAUGAAGUUGCCUGGCUGACAACCGCUGGGUUAGCUGGGCCAAGGAAAGAAGAGGUGGUAUCCUUGGAAGAAGGCAGCCCUUUCCCACCUCCUGGAUCUCUAAGUGCAUCACAUGAAUUUCUGCAAAGGCACUGAUGAUGGCUUUGAGGAAUAAAUAUUGCAGAUGGAUCAAAUCAAAGAAUCAAAUUUCAAAGCUGGAUUAAGAGUCGUGGAAAAAAAAGAGAAGCAGAAAUGAGGGAAAAAGAGAAGUACAAAAGUAAAAUGAGCAGUUGAUUAUUGAAAAGAAAAUCUUCUGCUGUUUGAAUAAAGACCAAAGGGCUUUCAUUGUCA